rnacentral:lncRNA from 1 species
GUCCUCCCUAGCACUUGGUACCUACCUCUACUAGCACUUCCAAACCUCAAUCUAUUUGUGUAUAAUCUUGGGUCCUCCAUCAGCUACUGAACUUCUUCAGCUCAGAAUUCAUACAUUAUGUUUUGAAUUCCAAGUCCUCUGGCAUAUAUUGGAAACCCAAUAAAAGUUUGUAGAAUCAAUUAUAACAAGACUAGUUAUAGUCCCUCCAUUAUUUACACCUCAACAUUGGAAAGUGGGUAUCACUACUUUGAUUUUUAAAAUAGGAUACAGGAGAAGAGAUUUCAAAUAACUUGCCACAGUAAUAACCUUGUCAUAAAAUAUCUUCAAUUCAAAACCAAACUAAGCAUCUGUGACUCCCACGUCUAAGCUCCUUCUCUGUACAAUGCUCUGUCUUCUAACGCUAAGAUUUUCUAACAGCUACGUCACUGUAGAAAGUCUUUUCACAUGCAAAUUCUCACUGAAUCCUAGCAACCACAUUCUGAAAAGCUGUCUUACCUUCAUUUUAUAGGGAAACUAAAGCUCAGAGAAGGAACUUUCCUAAAGUCCACAGGAGUAUCACAUCUACACUCAGGUCCCCUGACUUCCAAAUCUGGAUUAUUACAAAGAAAUCCCAGAAUGGAAUUGUGAAGGGAUGUGUCUGCAGCUGGUGAGGAAGCCCAGGCACACAGAAUCCUGCAGACCUCCCCAGCCCCUCCGCAUCCACAGAGAGCACUCAGGUCCUUCUGCCAAAAUGUGGAGUGACCAAGGAGCCAUGAGGGAAUUGUCUUAUUUCUUACUAUGAUUUGGAAGCAAAAGGAAGAACACAGUAAGGAGAAGAGAAAAUAUGAGAAGCUUACUAACUUGUCCACAGCUUUCUGCUCCUGCUCUCUGACUCAGAGAUUUUUGGUCUUGCCUGUUCUCCAUUCCCUAGUGUUCUGACAAAAGAAGGCUAAAAGUCAUACUGGAAGAUUCUACAGAGAAAAUCAAUAACAAUAAAAGAAAAAUUGUGUGCCCCA